rnacentral:rRNA from 1 species
UACUCCUACGGGAGGCAGCAGUGGGGAAUUUUGGACAAUGGGGGCAACCCUGAUCCAGCCAUGCCGCGUGAGUGAAGAAGGCCUUCGGGUUGUAAAGCUCUUUCGGCCGGGAAGAAAUCGUGUUCUCUAACAUAGGACAUGGAUGACGGUACCGGACUAAGAAGCACCGGCUAACUACGUGCCAGCAGCCGCGGUAAUA